rnacentral:rRNA from 1 species
CCCUUAGAUGUUCUGGGCCGCACGCGCGCUACACUGACUGGUGCAACAAGUGUCUGACCUUGGCUCGAGAGGCCUGGGCAACCUUUGAACGCCAGUCGUGCUGGGGAUAGAUUCUUGCAAUUAUUAAUCUUCAACGAGGAAUUCCUAGUAAACGCAAGUCAUCAGCUUGCAUUGAUUACGUCCCUGCCCUUUGUACACACCGCCCGUCGCACCUACCGAUUGGAUGGUCCGGUGAAGCCUCGGGAUUGUGGUUCUUGCCGCUUUAUUGUGGCGUGACCGCGAGAACUUGUCUAAACCUUAUCAUCUAGAGGAAGGUGAAGUCGUAACA